AUUGAAGAGCUGGCUACCAGUGAGGAAGGAUCUCUUCUGGAGUCUGCUCUGCUAGAGUUUUCUAAGUAAGCCCAGGAUAGGGUUUCUUAACACUUCCAGAUAUAUUUUGGAAUACCAGAAAAGUUCUACUAAAAAGAAAUUCACUGUGGAAGAAUGAAAUGAAGUAUACAAGCAUGCUCAGAAGUAACCAAUGGAAGUUCAAGGCUUCGUGAGCUGCAGAUUGAAAAUCACUGUUGAAUGUAUAUAGAGUAAGAAAUUAAAGUAAUAAUUUGAUUGCAACAGUCAGAUGAAAAACGAAACCCUUAAAUCUGGUUGUCACAGACUUCAAAGAAAUCCUGCCAGCGAAUAUUGCUGAAGAAUUUUUUAUAAACAUUCAUAUUUACCUAAUUCCCUUCCUAUAUUUACCUCCUCUCACACAGUUGGAAUGUUUACAGAAAAGAUUUUACAAAUAGAGUGAAAGAGCAACAUUAGAAGAAGAAUUAAUUAGUUGUACCUCUCUAGAAGACUAAAGAAUAAAAAGACAACCUCCAAAGAGAGCUUCUACUGAGAUACUGACGGAACAUUUGAAGAGCGCAGCUGGUGGACAUGAAGCCUGAGAAUCGCAAGGUUGACUUUUAUCCUCACAUUACUGAAACACUCAUAACUCGUAUUCUUCACUUUUUUUCUGAACGAUUGCAUGGACAUUGCUUGUGUUCUAUUUCACCUAAGGAAGAAAAGGAAAGAGAAAUAAUAGCAGCUAGAUGCAACAAACCUGUGCCUAUAGCAGUUGGAAGAGGACUCUACAUCCUCGGUUUGGUUUACAGAGCUUUUGAUCUUGCAUAUCCCAGCAGAUGUGAAGGAUCCAUGUGCAGGUAUAAUAAUAUGUAGAGGAGAAGAAGAAAAAAAAGUCAUAACCAGAUUUUCUAAGCCAGGAAUAAUGAGAACAAAUGGAUGGAGCAUCAUUUCAGCCUGGGAGAAGAUACUAGUCCUGACUCUGAAAACAGAUUUCCACCAGCUGCCUGCAUGACGAACAGUACCUGAUUUUCAUCAGCUUAGGGCCUACAAAAAGAAUAAAAUCAAAGAUCUGUGCAGGA